UACAGAGGGUGCGAGCGUUAAUCGGAAUUACUGGGCGUAAAGCGUGCGUAGGCGGUUAUUUAAGUCGGGUGUGAAAGCCCCGGGCUCAACCUGGGAAUUGCAUUCGAGACUGAAUAGCUAGGGUACGGUAGAGGGAAGCGGAAUUUCCGGUGUAGCGGCGAAAUGCGUAGAUAUCGGAAGGAACAUCAGUGGCGAAAGCGGCUUCCUGGACCAGUACCGACGUUCAGGCACGAAAGCGUGGGGAGCAAACAGG
rnacentral:rRNA from 1 species